UGGGGAAUAUUGCACAAUGGGCGCAAGCCUGAUGCAGCCAUGCCGCGUGUGUGAAGAAGGCCUUCGGGUUGUAAAGCACUUUCAGCGGGGAGGAAGGCGUUAAGGUUAAUAACCGUGGCGAUUGACGUUACCCGCAGAAGAAGCACCGGCUAACUCCGUGCCAGCAGCCGCGGUAAUACGGAGGGUGCAAGCGUUAAUCGGAAUUACUGGGCGUAAAGCGCACGCAGGCGGUCUGUCAAGUCGGAUGUGAAAUCCCCGGGCUCAACCUGGGAACUGCAUUCGAAACUGGCAGGCUAGAGUCUUGUAGAGGGGGGUAGAAUUCCAGGUGUAGCGGUGAAAUGCGUAGUGAUCUGGAGGAAUACCGGUGGCGAAGGCGGCCCCCUGGACAAAGACUGACGCUCAGGUGCGAAAGCGUGGGGAGCAAACAGG
rnacentral:rRNA from 1 species